AAGAGAGUUAAAAGCACGUGAAGCCGUUGAAAGGGAAACGCGCUCGGCUAGCAAUGUGCCACGACGGUUCAGCCGUUUUGGGCGGCGAGGUGGCUGCUGUCGGAUCCGAAUGGACCGCGGUAGUCGUCGUCGUUGUCCGAGACGCGGUGCACUCUUUCGUGGUACGCGUCAGCGUCGGUUCGCAGCGGGCGAUGAGGCCUUGCGGAAGGUAGCUCGGGGCUUGCUCUGAGUAUUAUAGACGCAGGUGCUGGGUCUGCUGCGGACCGAGGAGAGACAAUGUCGUUGCAGUGCAUGCCGCAAGGCUAGCUACCCGCCAUCUGGCUCGUUUCACGGACUGAGGACUGCACGCAGUGCUCGGAUCGGCGGAGUGGUCCGGUGGUGGAGUGGUAUAUAUGCGCUCAGGACGCUGGCGUCCAAAUGGCCGUGCGCGACCC
rnacentral:rRNA from 1 species